rnacentral:rRNA from 1 species
AACUUUCAGCAACGGAUCUCUUGGCUCUCGCAUCGAUGAAGAACGCACCGAAAUGCGAUAAGUAAUGUGAAUUGCAGAAUUCAUUGAAUCAUCGAAUCUUUGAACGCACCUUGC